UACGUAGGGGGCAAGCGUUGUCCGGAAUCAUUGGGCGUAAAGCGCGCGUAGGCGGCUCGAUCAGUCUGUUGUGAAAGUCAAAGGCUCAACCUUUGAAAGCCGAUGGAUACUGUGGAGCUAGAGUACGGAAGAGGCGAGUGGAAUUCCUGGUGUAGCGGUGGAAUGCGCAGAUAUCAGGAGGAACACCAAUAGCGAAGGCAGCUCGCUGGGACGUUACUGACACUAAGGCGCGAAAGCGUGGGGAGCGAACAGG
rnacentral:rRNA from 1 species